rnacentral:rRNA from 1 species
AGCGAACGCUGGCGGCAGGCCUAACACAUGCAAGUCGAACGGAUCCUUCGGGAUUAGUGGCGGACGGGUGAGUAACACGUGGGAACGUGCCCUUUGGUUCGGAGCAACUCAGGGAAACUUGAGCUAAUACCGGAUGUGCCCUUCGGGGGAAAGAUUUAUCGCCAUUGGAGCGGCCCGCGUCUGAUUAGCUAGUUGGUGAGGUAAAGGCUCACCAAUGCGACGAUCAGUAGCUGGUCUGAGGGGAUGAUCAGCCACAUUGGGACGGGGACGCGGCCCAAACUCCUACGGGAGGCAGCAGUGGGGAAUCUUGCGCAAUGGGCGAAAGCAUGACGCAGCCAUGCCGCGUGAAUGAAGAAGGUCUUAGGAUUGUAAAAUUCUUUCACCGGGGACGAUAAUGACGGUACCCGGAGAAGAAGCCCCGGCUAACUUCGUGCCAGCAGCCGCCGUAA